UCCACACUUGUGAGGUGCCACACCCUUUUUUAUAGGCUUACCUCAAGUCCCUGUUCAGGCACCAGCUGCAUGGCCUCUCUCUCAUCCAGCAAGGAGGUCCAUGGAACAAGGUAGAGGAGAAUGUGGCUGCAGAGUCACAAAUCAAGACCUCCGAAGACCAAGCUGGAAGCAGAAAUGACUGGCAUGUGGGACAGCAAACUGUGGAGUGGAGUAGACCCAACUUAAAUUUGGGCAGCACUGUCCAAUACACUGGGGAUUUGGAUGAAGCUAAAAGGCAGAAGAAUACAGAAGCAGCAGCAUAAGGAAGCAGCAGCAUAAGCAAGCAUGAUUCUUCUUGAUCACGUGCUUCUAGUGAUGCUGUGAUUACCAGAGGACAUCAGAUUCCAGAUUCUUCCUAGGCAGACUGACAACUACCCAAGGAGUUUCCAGUCCUUUGGACCAGAUUGGGACUUCAUCAUUGGUCCCUCUCAUUCUGAGGUUCCAGGUGCUUGGACUGAGAAGGUUCUGGUUCUUCCAACUUACUAACCUGCGGAAGGAUGUUGUAGUAUCCUCCAGCUUCUUGUGUCAACCAAUCUAAUAAAUCCCACAUAUAUCUUCUUGA